CUCAGAAUCAACCCAUCGUGGUACUAAACGAGCAAUCCCGAUAAUUGAUAACGAUCAAGUUCCAUCGUCCACUAAAAAAACUGUAAUAGGGCCAAGCUCGACAGCCCCUUCAAUGCAAUCCGUUUACCUCCAUCCUUCACUCUCAGACUCCCCAAAAAAAUAUACAAAAGAUGAUAAAGGUCCUUUCGUAGUGUACGUAUCCCGUGAAGUGUCCGACCCUUCAGCCGGCGCUUCUAUGAGAGCGAUCAAAUUCGGCCAGUUCCUUCACAAAAACAAAAUAAGGUCAGUUCUUAACGACGGCGUGAAGAAUGUUGGUAGAAACAAAGUUUCAGUUGAAUUUGCAAAUGGUCAAGCGGCUAAUGAAUUCUUAGAAAACCCUAUACUUACCAUAUCCAAGCACAUUGCAUAUAUACCCACAUUUAACAUCACUCGCAUGGGAUUAGUCCGAGGUGUACCUGUAGACUGGCAUCUGGACGAGUUUAUUGACUCUGUGGAGCUCCCUGUAGGCUGCGGGGAGAUCCUUAAAGCCCGACGCUUAAAUCGCAAGAACAUAAUAGACAAUGUUAUGACCUGGGUUCCAACCCAAUCCAUUGUUUUAACAUUUAGAGGACAAACUCUCCCUCCUAGAAUUUUCUCCUAUCAUACAUCUCUUCCCGUGGAAACCUACCGUCUCCCCACCAUCCAAUGUAUAAAUUGCUGCCGGUUUGGUCACAUAAAAACUCAAUGCAGAUCAAAACCUCGUUGCUUUAAAUGCUCCCAGCCUCAUUCAGGUGAAACUUGUGAAGUACUUAUUGAGAAUGCAACUUGCUUACUCUGCGGUGGUAAACACAUGGCUACAAAUAAGAGCUGCCCUGAACACUCUCGGCAGCAAUCUAUAAAACUUGUCAUGUCCGAUGAAAAUUUGUCCUAUCAAGAUGCCUCCUCCCGCUUCCCUCCCGUUCGCCGCUCAUAUGCCGAUAUGGCUAAAGAAAUGUUUACCGCUCCUGCAUACUCUCCCAUUUUUAAUCCUGUCAGACCUCGUCCUACACAAGCCCCGUCCAAAUCUUACAAACAAACUGUCACCCGCUCCCCUCGCCCCAGACCCCAACCUGCAAAGGGGUACGAUAGGCAAGCCCAUCAGGACAUCAUCCACAACUUUCCUUCUUCCACACCUAAUGGUUGCGCUCUGAAUGCAGAACGUGAUCACUCUUAUGCUCAACCACCCAAUGAUAAUAAUAUAUCUCUCACCAAAUCCCUCACCAAUAUUCUUGAUAAGAUAAACCAAAACCCUCCACCGUCCAACGUUGCUGAAAUUAUCAUCAAAAUCGCUUCUGUAUUAAAUAAUGGCCUCCCUGGAGAUACUCCAAUGGAAUAGCCAAAGUAUACGACGGAAAAAACAUGAACUCGUUCAUCUCCUUAAUAAACAUAAGCCCGCUGUCGCUGCCAUCUCUGAGACAUGGCUCCUGCCGGACUCUCGUUUCAGGGUGUCAGGCUUUGCCUGCCUGAGGGAUGACAGGGAUGACGGAUAUGCAGGUAGUGCUAUUCUUGUUAGGCGCUCCCUUGCAUACACUUCUAUUUCCCUCCCGCCUCACUCUCAUCAGCUCAAUGCUGUUGCUGUGAGAGCCCUUGAUGUCUCCUUUCUUUCACUCUAUAUUCCACAUCCUCAUUCCUCUCUUAUCCCUGAAUUAAAAUCUAUUCUCUCCUCUCUUCCCCCCCCGGUACUAGUGAUGGGUGAUUUUAACUCCCAUCACACGUCCUGGGGUUCCCAUUCCUGUGACGGAUUUUCCACUCUCUUGCUGGAUGUUUUUGAUGAAUUAAAUAUUUGCAUUCUUAACGAUGGCUCUCCAACAAGAAGAGUGUAUCCUUAUCAAAAUCCUAAAACUGCUGUCGAUCUAUCUCUUUGCUCUCCCUCUUUGGCUUCUCUUACCUCCUGGAAAACCCUCCCAAGUACCCACGGUAGUGACCACUUCCCUAUUUUACUCAACAUAGCACAAAAAUCCAUUCCACAUGUAUAUUAUAA